rnacentral:rRNA from 1 species
GAUGAACGCUAGCUACAGGCUUAACACAUGCAAGUCGAGGGGAAACGAUAUUGGAAGCUUGCUUCCGAUAGGCGUCGACCGGCGCACGGGUGCGUAACGCGUAUCGAACCUACCCUUUACUCGGGAACAGCCUUGCGAAAGCAAGAUUAAUGCCCGAUGUUCCGCGUUUGCCGCAUGGCAAAUUCGGCAAAGAUUUAUUGGUAAAGGAUGGCGAUGCGUCCCAUUAGUUAGUUGGCGGGGUAACGGCCCACCAAGACGACGAUGGGUAGGGGUUCUGAGAGGAAGGUCCCCCACAUUGGAACUGAGACACGGUCCAAACUCCUACGGGAGGCAGCAGUGAGGAAUAUUGGUCAAUGGGCGGAAGCCUGAACCAGCCAAGUAGCGUGCAGGAAGACGGCCCUAUGGGUUGUAAACUGCUUUCAGUCGGGAAUAACUCGUCGGUCGUGACCGACGUUGCAGGUACCGUCAUAAGAAGGACCGGCUAAUUCCGUG